GACGAACGCUGGCGGCGUGCUUAACACAUGCAAGUCGAACGCUGAAGCUUGGUGCUUGCACUGGGUGGAUGAGUGGCGAACGGGUGAGUAAUACGUGAGUAACCUGCCCUUGACUCUGGGAUAAGCCUGGGAAACUGGGUCUAAUACUGGAUACGACAUGCCACUGCAUGGUGGUGUGUGGAAAGGGUUUUACUGGUUUUGGAUGGGCUCACGGCCUAUCAGCUUGUUGGUGGGGUAAUGGCCUACCAAGGCGACGACGGGUAGCCGGCCUGAGAGGGUGACCGGCCACACUGGGACUGAGACACGGCCCAGACUCCUCCGGGAGGCAGCAGUGGGGAAUAUUGCACAAUGGGCGGAAGCCUGAUGCAGCGACGCCGCGUGAGGGAUGACGGCCUUCGGGUUGUAAACCUCUUUCAGCACGGAAGAAGCGAGAGUGACGGUAAGUGCAGAAGAAGCGCCGGCUAACUACGUG
rnacentral:rRNA from 1 species